GGAGGAUUGGCCGAGUGGCUUAAGGCACCGUCUUGGAAAGGCGGCAAAGUGAAAGCUUUCGAGAGUUCGAAUCUCUUGUCCUCCG
rnacentral:tRNA from 1 species